rnacentral:lncRNA from 1 species
GGCCGAGUAACAGACCCAGAAGGGGCAGCCUGAAAGCAAUGGGGUCUCAAAACAAUAGAGAACGUGGGCAGGUUGGGCUGGGGUGUGGGCAGAAUAGACGCCAGCUCAUCCGAACUGGCCUAGAGUCAAGGUGCUGAACUCCUGGCUCCAUCGAAGCACAACGUCCUCACUUUUGCCAGGGCUCAGCGCACUGUAAGUCUCAUUCUGCAGACAUCUCAUGCGGGACACCUACACAGAGAUUCAGUGCAGACGGUCUGUAUCACAGAGCCAGGUGCCAGGAGUGGGGAGGAGGGG